GAUGAACGCUGACGGCAUGCUUAACACAUGCAAGUCAACUGUGUCGGACGAGUGGGUGACGAGUAAAGAACUUGCCUCACGUGUCGGGACAACAUUUGGAAACGAAUGCUAAUACCUAAUACGGUGAGAGAGCUUUGCGUUCCAUUGGCUAGUUGGAGAGGUAACGGCGCACCAAGGGGAGGAUGGGUAGCCGGCCUGGGAGGGUGAUCGGCCACAAGGGGACUGGGACACGGGCCUUAGUCAUACGGGAGGCAGCAGUGGGAAAUAUAGGACAAUGGGCCAAAGUCUGAUGAAGUAAUUCUGUGUGUAAGAUGAAGUUUUCGGAAAGUAAAGUGCUUUCAGUUGGGAAGCGGUACCAACAGAAGAAGUGACGGCUAAAUACGUGCCAGCAGCCGCGGUAAUAC
rnacentral:rRNA from 1 species